rnacentral:tRNA from 2 species
GGCGACGUAGCUCAGUUGGUGAGAGCGCUCGACUCAUAAUCGAGAGGCCGACAGUUCGAAUCUGUCCGUCGCUA